rnacentral:rRNA from 1 species
CCUACGGGAGGCAGCAGUGAGGAAUAUUGGUCAAUGGACGAGAGUCUGAACCAGCCAAGUAGCGUGAAGGAUGACUGCCCUAUGGGUUGUAAACUUCUUUUAUAUGGGAAUAAAACGUUCCACGUGUGGGAUUUUGUAUGUACCAUAUGAAUAAGGAUCUGGUAACUCCGUGCCAGCAGCCGCGGUAAUACGGAGGAUCCGGGCGUUAUCCGGGUUUAUUGGGUUUAAAGGUAGGAUAGUUGGAUUGUUAAUUCAGUUGUGAAAGUUUGAGGCUCAACCGUAAAAUUGCAGUUGAAACUGGCAGUCUUGAGUACAGUAGAGGUGGGCGGAAUGCGUGGUGUAGCGGUGAAAUGCUUAGAUAUCACGAAGAAAUCCGAUUGCGAAGGCAGUUCACUGGACUGCAACUGACACUGAGGCUCGAAAGUGUGGGUAUCAAACAGGAUUAGAUACCCUUGUAGUC